GAUAUAUUCCUUUCGUCCAAAAAUACUUGUCAUUAAAAUGGAUAGAAAGAGAUGUAUCUAGAAUUAAAAUACGUCUUCAUACAUCUUUUUUAUCCAUUUUGAUGACAGGUAUUUCCGGACGGAGGAAGUACAAA
rfam:Triticum urartu cultivar G1812 contig1004074, whole genome shotgun sequence.